CCCUACAGAGAACGAUAACCUCGGGAAACUGAGGCUAAUAGUUCAUACGGGAGUCAUGCUGGAAUGCCGACUCCCCGAAACGCUCAGGCGCUGUAGGAUGUGGCUGCGGCCGAUUAGGUAGACGGUGGGGUAACGGCCCACCGUGCCGAUAAUCGGUACGGGUUGUGAGAGCAAGAGCCCGGAGACGGAAUCUGAGACAAGAUUCCGGGCCCUACGGGGCGCAGCAGGCGCGAAACCUUUACACUGCACGCAAGUGCGAUAAGGGGACCCCAAGUGCGAGGGCAUAUAGUCCUCGCUUUUCUCGACUGUAAGGCGGUCGAGGAAUAAGAGCUGGGCAAGACCGGUGCCAGCCGCCGCGGUAAUACCGGCAGCUCAAGUGAUGACCGAUAUUAUUGGGCCUAAAGCGUCCGUAGCCGGCCACGAAGGUUCAUCGGGAAAUCCGCCAGCUCAACUGGCGGGCGUCCGGUGAAAACCACGUGGCUUGGGACCGGAAGGCUCGAGGGGUACGUCCGGGGUAGGAGUGAAAUCCCGUAAUCCUGGACGGACCACCGAUGGCGAAAGCACCUCGAGAAGACGGAUCCGACGGUGAGGGACGAAAGCUAGGGUCUCGAACCGGAUUAGAUACCCGGGUAGUCCUAGCUGUAAACGAUGCUCGCUAGGUGUG
rnacentral:rRNA from 1 species